rnacentral:misc_RNA from 1 species
UUAAAUUAAAGUUACGUCUUCCUGUCACUGUUAUAUACAUGACUUCGGACCCCUUGCGCAUUGGAUAUUUAAUUUCAGGAAGUGGUAUUGAUUCUCUGCACACUUAAGCGAUAUUACAAGUCAUUGCCCCCACGUGCGUAUAAAAUAUUUAACUGUCAUGAUCAUGUCUUCCAUAUCAUUCUUUCAUUUUAUGCUUUUAAUGAUUCACUAGUUUAUUGUCAUUUAGUUGUUCUCUCAUUUUUCUUAAUUUAUUACCCGCUCUCCCCAUAAGA